CACGUAGGGCGCAAGCGUUGUCCGGAAUUAUUGGGCGUAAAGAGCUCGUAGGCGGUCUGUUGCGUCCGCUGUGAAAACUCGGGGCUUAACCCCGAGCCUGCAGUGGAUACGGGCAGACUAGAGGUAGGUAGGGGAGAAUGGAAUUCCCGGUGUAGCGGUGAAAUGCGCAGAUAUCGGGAGGAACACCGGUGGCGAAGGCGGCUUCUUGGGCCGUUUCUGACGCUGAGGCGCGAAAGCCAGGGGAGCGAACGGG
rnacentral:rRNA from 1 species